GUCUAGCAGUUCUAUUAUAGGCUCUUAGUUUGAGUAUAGUCAUGGUUUCAUGGUGGUUUUUUUUUUUUUUGUUGAAGCUUAAAGGAGAGUUUACGUUAUUCUCUUAUGGUGCUCCAUCAUCAGAUGAAGCUGCCAGCAUGAUCUUAAUUUCCCUCUGUUUUAUCGAGGAAAAAUCAGAUCAUGUGGCAGUUUCACCUGUUGCUGCUUGCACCCCCAAAAAAAACAAACCCUAAUUUCUCUAAGAUGAAACCCUAAUUCCCACUCCUUUCUCUCUCUCCUUUUUUGGUUCACCGCCAUUACUGUUUUCUCUCAAUCUCUAGAAAAGCAGUUUCUUGAAACUUUUGCACUGGAAAUGAUGCUGUUUUCGAUGAUUUCAAGAUCCUGCUUUGGUGAUUGAGCCUUCUUAGGUAUCAUCUGUGAACAUUCCAUACGGUUUCCACUGUUUGAUUGCUUUUAACAUAUGGCUGUAUCUCAAUUUUUGUUAGUACCCCAAUUUUGUUAUAAGAUCUGUUUGGUUUUAUAUUUGUUCUUGGGAUUCUCAGCUUUUUUUUCCUCUCUUAUACUAAUAAUUUUGGAAUUUAAUUCUACUUUAUUCAUGUAGCUUUAGCUAGGGCCUUUUUCUGAAAGUGGGGAUUUCUUUCAAAUCCCUGGCAGAUUUGCAAAAUCAGAGAGAAAUUAAGAGAUCAUAAUUCACAAUUGCGAUAAACACGACAUUAAUAUCAUUAGUUUGUGGUUUUGGUUGUUCUUGUCUUUGUUAUUCAUAAUUGCGAUAAACAUGAUGCAACCGAAAACGUGUGGAUGUGAACCUGCAUUUCUUCUUAUGAAUCAGAGAUAUAGUAAUCUUACUAUAGGCAUAGGUUAUAUGAAGAAUUUCAACUUAAAACUUGUUAAUAGACCUAAUAUUUUGUUGCCUAUCUCUCUUUAAGCUUGAGCUUAUUCCUUUUUGCUUCUUGAUCUUAGUGCAACUUCAAAGUCCCAAAGAACAUAUAAGCAAUUUAUUUGAAAAUACAUAGUGAAAACAUCAUCUUGGGAGCCAAAAUAUGAAACAUGUUUCUCAAAUGGAAGAAUAAUUUUGAAGUUCUUAGUUACUUUAUUGGAAGAGUAUGAGCUCUUUCACUCUUUUUUCUCUCUCUAUCUAUCUGAGGUGUUGCUUUCUUUUCCAUCUGUUUUCCAUGUUGGAAUUUGGUCUUAUUCUUCUUAAUGUUGACAAGAUUCCAUGCAGCUCUCGUAUUUCCUUAAGUAUAAAAAAUACCUAGAAAUGGUAUUAGUUUUUGAACUCUUUCCCCCAGAGCUUUUUUUUUUCUUUUCUUAUGUCAGCUAUCAUUCAUGCAUGAAGAAAAACUAAGUGACUAAGAGAGUGGUUCAUUGAUACUUGUUUACGUUCCAUUUAAAGAUUGUUCUUGGGAAAUUAGCCCCCCACAUAAAAGCUAUGUUCUUUAAAGAAAUGUAUCAAACUUCAUUCUCUGAUAGAGAAAUAUCGAUAAAAGAAGUAGGUGAGAUAGCUGCCCGUUUUUGUCUAGGGUGGCCCCAAAGCUGUUUUUGGUCCCUAGCUAGGUAAGCUUUCCUACACCUGGAUGAUUUAUUUCCCCCCUAACGGUAACCCGGGGGUUUGUGUUUCAUGUCGUGUUAUUGGUUUUUCUUUUUUAUGUUAUAAUCGUGUUUAGAUGUUUACUGUUAAUUAUCAGUAUCCCGAGGGUUUUUCAUAUAAUUUUGCUUAGGGUCUGUUUGGGUCUCAGGAGGAAAAGCAAAGGAUGAUUUCCAGUUGGGUGCUUAACUCAGUGCAUUGAACAAAACUGAAAAGCCUUUUGAUUUGUUCGAUUGUUUUUUUGUUCAAAAGCUUGUUUGAUUUUUUGUGCAUUAUUACUUGUAUAUAUAUACGUAUAUGUAUAUGUUUUUUUUUUCUGUGUGUGUCAUCCCUGAUAUGUCAGAUAAAUAUUAAGGGUAUCUGAGAUCUCUCUCUCUCUCUCA